rnacentral:lncRNA from 1 species
GCAUUCUAUUGCCUGACAUGCCCAUUUUAGAGUUUCCUAUUUUAGAGCUGACUGAUUUUCAGAUAACAUAUGGUGGUCCAAGUAAUUGGGAAAUUGGCAGACCUGUCAAGAAAGUCUGCUGGAUGAGACAAAAAUGCCAAUGUACAUAAAGUGUCUCAGAAGUUACAUUUACUAUUUUUUUUAUCAAAUAGUGAAGUAAAAAUAUCUGAUUGACCCCUAAAAAGGAUAUUUUUUUAGUGGCAAGUGUUUUCAAAAGUAGUUUUUAGGUCAUUGAUAAAAUAAAUUGCUUUUAAAAAUACAUAGAAAAAU